rnacentral:rRNA from 1 species
AUUGAACGCUGGCGGCAGGCCUAACACAUGCAAGUCGAGCGGAUGAAGGGAGCUUGCUCCUGGAUUCAGCGGCGGACGGGUGAGUAAUGCCUAGGAAUCUGCCUGGUAGUGGGGGAUAACGUCCGGAAACGGGCGCUAAUACCGCAUACGUCCUGAGGGAGAAAGUGGGGGAUCUUCGGACCUCACGCUAUCAGAUGAGCCUAGGUCGGAUUAGCUAGUUGGUGGGGUAAAGGCCUACCAAGGCGACGAUCCGUAACUGGUCUGAGAGGAUGAUCAGUCACACUGGAACUGAGACACGGUCCAGACUCCUACGGGAGGCAGCAGUGGGGAAUAUUGGGCAAUGGGCGAAAGCCUGAUCCAGCCAUGCCGCGUGUGUGAAGAAGGUCUUCGGAUUGUAAAGCACUUUAAGUUGGGAGGAAGGGCAGUAAGUUAAUACCUUGCUGUUUUGACGUCACCAACAGAAUAAGCACCGGCUAACUUCGUG